rnacentral:rRNA from 1 species
CAGCCGCCGCGGGAAUACGAAGGGGGCUAGCGUUGUUCGGAAUUACUGGGCGUAAAGCGCACGUAGGCGGAUAUUUAAGUCAGGGGUGAAAUCCCAGAGCUCAACUCUGGAACUGCCUUUGAUACUGGGUAUCUUGAGUAUGGAAGAGGUUAGUGGAAUUGCGAGUGUAGAGGUGAAAUUCGUAGAUAUUCGCAGGAACACCAGUGGCGAAGGCGGCUAACUGGUCCAUAACUGACGCUGAGGUGCGAAAGCGUGGGGAGCAAACAGGAUUAGAUACCCGGGAGUCCCUGUCUCUUAUACA